UGACAUGCCGGACACCGAUCCCGACAUGGCCAUCCGUCGCUAUGUGCAACUCAUCGACCACAUUCGCUCUCGGGGAAACAUCGAACUUGUGUGCAAUCCCCGGGCAUUUGCGUUCAACCAACGACUGAUGACCCUGUGCCGAGGUGCCCGUGACCUGUAUUUCCUGGACCAUGGUUUCCACCGACAGCCCCCAACCAGAGUCCUUGCAGCUGACGGCCUCCACCCCAGUUUCGAAGGAGUCACCCAGAUCGCCCACCGACUGCGGUCCCUGGUACCCCGGCUGCUCCGUCGCCUACCCACACGUACAGCAAGCACUGGAACGCCGGACCCCGUAUGGCCGACACUCCAGGAGGCUGCAGCAUGGACACAAAGAACCACACGUGCCGAGAAAUCGUCACGAGCCAAGCAGCAGGAUUGACUAGCCGGCUCACGGGUAUUUCCUCAAGGUCCUGCUGCACAGACCCGGUCAUUCCCCUUUCACUUAGUCACCAACCUAUGUUAGUCAUGACAAAAGCGCAUGCGCUGCUCUCUUUCCCUUGUACAUAACCCUCUCCCAUAUAUAAAGCUUGUUCUUGUCACCAAACCCCAGUCCCGUCGAAGGCAGCGCUGACUGCCGAAACGUCGACCCCUAUCCCUAUAUGUGUUAAUAAACUCCCCUUUGUGUUUUC